rnacentral:snRNA from 1 species
GGAUGUGAGGGUGAUCUGGCUGUGACAUCUGUCACUGCAUUGAUCUCUAGGCUGAUCUGGCUGGCUAAAUCCGCGUCCCCUUCCUCCCUCACCAUUCCUCCCAAAGUUGCACACAUUCUCUCAGUUGAAGAGGAUGACCUUCCCCAGUGACCUUUCUUGGAUCAAGGGUAUAUGAGUAGCUGCGCUCCUCUGCUAGAACCUCCAAACAAGCUCUCAAGACCUUGAAGCUAAAUUGUAAUUUUGUCCUUUAACAGAAGAACAGAAGUCUCAGUUUGGAAUAAGCAAGACCUGCUUUCUC